CAGCAGCCGCGGUAAUACGUAGGUGGCGAGCGUUAUCCGGAAUUAUUGGGCGUAAAGAGGGAGCAGGCGGCACUAAGGGUCUGUGGUGAAAGAUCGAAGCUUAACUUCGGUAAGCCAUGGAAACCGUAGAGCUAGAGUGUGUGAGAGGAUCGUGGAAUUCCAUGUGUAGCGGUGAAAUGCGUAGAUAUAUGGAGGAACACCAGUGGCGAAGGCGACGAUCUGGCGCAUAACUGACGCUCAGUCCCGAAAGCGUGGGGAGCAAAUAGGAUUAGAUACCCUAGUAGUCCACGCCGUAAACGAUGAGUACUAAGUGUUGGGAGUCAAAUCACAGUGCUGCAGUUAACGCAAUAAGUACUCCGCCUGAGUAGU
rnacentral:rRNA from 1 species